rnacentral:rRNA from 1 species
UACAGAGGUCCCGAGCGUUGUUCGGAUUCAUUGGGCGUAAAGGGUGCGUAGGUGGCGCCGUAAGUGGGGUGUGAAAUCCCGGGGCUUAACCCCGGGACUGCAUUCAAUACUGCUUCGCUCGAGUACUGGAGAGGAGGCUGGAAUUUACGGUGUAGCAGUGAAAUGCGUAGAUAUCGGAAGGAACGCCGGUGGCGAAAGCGCACGACUGGAUCUCUUCUGACGCUGAGGCGCGAAAGCCAGGGGAGCAAACGGG